GCCAGCAGUCAUAUCACUCUGCAACUCAUAAAUGGCAACCCACUAAAGCUAAGUACUGUAGGAGUGAGGCUAGUGAGUACCUGGAUGGGAGACCUCCUGGGAAAAACUAAGGUUGCUGCCGGAA
rnacentral:rRNA from 1 species